rfam:Desulfovibrio piger ATCC 29098 Scfld13 genomic scaffold, whole genome shotgun sequence.
CAGCGAAACGCCCCUGCGGGGGCGUCGCCGGAGCGUGGCGGCUCCGGCCUGACGAGCAGCCAUGA